GACGAACGCUGGCGGCGUGCUUAACACAUGCAAGUCGAACGGUGAAGCGCCUUCCUUUUUGGUGGGAGUGGAUGCGUUGCGAACCGGUGGGUAACACGUGAGUAACCUGCCCCCUUCUUCUGGAUAACCGCAUGAAAGUGUGGCUAAUACGGGAUAUUCUAAGUCUGUCGCAUGAUGGGUCUGUGAAAGAUAUUGUUUCGGUGGGGGCUGGGCUCGCGGCCUAUCAUCUUGUUGGUGGGGGGAUGGCCUACGAGGGCGGUGACGGGUAGCCGGCCUGAGAGGGCGGACGGUCAGAGAGGGAGUGAGAGACCGGACAGACUCGUACGGGAGGCAGAGGGGGGGAAUAGUGAACGAUGGGAGCAAGACUGAGGCAGCGAGGGCGAGUGAGGGAUGGAGUCGGUUGGGUUGUGAACCUCUUUCGCGAGGGAAGCAGGUCUGCCUCGUAUGUGGGCGGGUUGACGGUAGCUUGACAAGAAGCGACGGCUAACUACGUG
rnacentral:rRNA from 1 species